AAAAAAAAAGCAAACACAAAUGGUGAGGCAGCAGGGCAGGCCCAUGUCAGCCCCUUCCUGUGUGUCCUCAGCCCGGCGGUGAUUUGCUCAGAACGCAAUGCAAAAGAAAUGGGUGGUGGUUUUUGUGCGUGUUUUGGUUCAGGGUUCAAAUGAAUCGCCGCCUCCCGCCGGGGCAGGGAUGUUCCUGAAGUUUUCGCUCCGAUCCGUGUUCUAUGGAGCUGGAGGAGGAAAUGACAUUCAGUGGUGUUUUUCUCAGGUGAAAGGCGCUGUGGAUGAUGAUGUAGCAGAAGCCACAGCGGUGCUGUAGUCUGCAGUUGGUGACAUGAUGGACAGAUGAAGUCCCUGACAUUUCUGUCCCUGGACAAAUUGCAUGUGGUCAGAGAUAAGAACAAGGCUUGACAUUUCUCUUGUUCGGGAAUGUUUUCUCUGUCUGAUUCUAGGUAUGUUAUAACUUUCAAAUGUAGUUUUGUGUUUAUUUUUGGCUGACUUCAAAAUUGCAGAGCAGCUGUGGGCUCUUACUGCUUCGGUAGUGCUGGUGGUUUGCCUUCAGUACACCAAAAUAGCUGCCAUUAGCAGUGAGGAAAACUGAAAUCAGGAAUGGGAACUGCUGUAAGGAGCAGUUUACCACCUUGUGAAGUUUGUUAUCUUCUCCUGGCUUAUCAGAAAACUUUCUCCUUGUCAAGUCGCGUCUGUCAGUACUGGGGUUAGGGCUGCAGAACCUCCUCUGUGCCCUGAGUGGCUGUGGCACAUCUGUUCUGUUGGCUGAGCUGCUAACUGACUUUGGAUCGAGGGAUGCUGCUGGGAUCACUUGGGAAGGAGGGCUCCUACCCAGCUGGGCCUGUGGGCAGCGGUCACAGAAGAAACACGGUGGCACUGUUACAGAAGCAGUGGUUGGGCUUUUCGGUAAUAGGCGCUGCUGCAGCAGGAGGGAGGAGGAGUUCUUUCUCCCCCAGAAGCUUGGGGUGCCGUUGUAGUGAGGAGCUUAACUUCCCUCUCUGAGGGCUGGGCUGAAGUUGUCUGUGCCCAUAAAGUAGCAUUAGUGCAGAAGAGCAAGGACUGCAAACAGGUUUUAAAUGCCAGCUUGAAAUGUCUUGGCAGUCAUGCCAGUGUUGUGCUAUUUCUUUCUGUGGCAUUCUGCUGUUCUUGGGAUCUUUUGCACUUAACACUCCUUUUCCCGUCUGAUUUUUAAUUUAUUUCUGUGUUGUUAAUAUAGCAGUUAAUGAUCAGGCCAUCAGACAGCCGCCGUACGAAGGAACACAGCUCUGCUGUCUGUUGAAGCCCUGCUGGAUUACAGCUCUGUGGCUUUGAAUUUUAAAGGUGCUUCCUCGAGGUUCUCUUUUGGUUACUUCUAUCCUCACAGUGGGCUUCUGUGGUAGCUGUAGCUACACAAAACGUGUGCAGGGCAGAGCUAAAAUCAGGAGAGCUGGCAGAUGCAGUGCUGAUGUAAGAGUUAAGAGCUGGGUGUUCCUAGCUGUGCUGUUUGCCUUUCUUUUGCUCCUGCUGUCUUCUGACUUGCCUAUUUAGGCCAUGGCUACAUGUUUGGCAGCAUUUCUGCUUAAAGAGGCACUCCUUCCCACUUUGCUGGCACCAGCAUUCAUGUAACUGCACAAUGAACUCGCCUGGGAAGCUGAUCCAGCUGAAAAAUGCUUAAAAUUGUGCUUUUGACUGGAUUCUUUCUCAGCUGAACUGAACCCUGAUCUGGUUCUCAAUGCUGUGUGCUGGCGACAGCAUGGAGUGAAGAGAUGAAGCAGCUCGAGGAAGAGGAGGAACUCUGGCAGAGUCAGUCUCCCUAUAGGAUUUUAAGUACAGUCAGUACAAGAAGCUGAUCUCCAGUGCUGUGCUACUGCAAAUGGUAAACUAAGUGAGCAAAAGGGACUUAGAACUUUGCUGUUUGAGAUGUGCUUUGUGCUGUUUGAAGGCCAGCAAUAAAUAUAUCGACUACCACUGCUGUGGUGGUGAUCCCAGGCUGGAUUUUAGUUCAGUCUGAUAAGGUAGCUGGAACUUCCACGGAUGUGUGGGUGUGCAGACACUGACAGUGCAGAGAGAGGGAGAUGAAGAUGUGCCUGGGGGGCUGGGAGUGCAGAACUGCCUGGUGUGGAUGGAGGGACACACCAGUGGUCAAGCUGCUUUGCACUGACAGCUGUUGAUUUUCCAGUCACACACGUGUGUGAGCGCACACCCAGCGAUGCUGAGCACGGUGCCAUCCAUCACCGGCUGUCAGUACUGCUGAGCUACACAGAACUAGUGUGCAUAGGACAGAUACUUUUCCCCCAGCACCCACACGAGCAGUGUGUGAAAAGAGAAGCCGUGCUUGACGUGUUUAGCAUUGCCAUUAGCUUUGUUGUUUGGUUGUUUUCUCCAGCUGUCUUGCUACCAGUAUGGUUUAGUUUCUCGUAGAAAAGAAUAGCAGUUAAUUGGGAGCUGGAUUACUUACUGAUUGCUUUACAGUAAAGCACUUUAGAUAAUCUAACGAAUGAUAAUCUUCUCUUGCUGUGUCUUACCGCUCUUAAUAUGAUUUGAAAAACUGAUCCCUUGUUUGGGGUUUUUCCUUCAUUUAAAUUAAUGUAUUGUCUUCUAUUUAGAUGCUGUAGAAGGAGGCUGUUGUGCACACAAUUAAACCUGUGAUGUCCCAUUUCACCACCAGAAAAAAACAUCAAUUAGUGAUGGCAUCAAACUCGUUCCAUGUGUUCCUUAGGAAAUGCUGCUCUUGAAGCUGUUUCAUUACUACAACAUCCAUAUAUAUACUUAAUUUUCUACUGCUUUAAGGGUAUUUUCCAGGCAAGGAUAUUUUCCAGACCUUUCUUUGUUUUAUAAUGCACAGCACCAUAAAUACUUAGAAUAUUUGUAGUACAGAGAGCAACCAAGACAUCAGGGAGGUGUUGUUAGUAUAGGUUGAUAACAUUACUGAAGGUAAUUACUGGAGGUUUCUGUGCAUGGCUGUGAUUUGGUUACAGAAAUAAAAGUAGCUGUGAGCUUUUUUAUUCCAACUUCUCGUGCUUUUGGGAAGCACUGGAGGAGAAAUUAUUAAUGUGGUCAGGCUUCCUUUGGAAAAAUGUAUUUUCCUCCCAGCAAUCCACAAGUGAUAGCACCAUUAAGGAACCCAGCCUAUUGGGGUCAUGUGUUAACCCCUCUGGCAGAUAGGCUUGCAUCUAUUUGUGGAGGAAAAAAAUCAGGGUCAGGAGGAGAGGAUUUAAGAGUUGUGCUGUAAGAAAGACUGGUUUCCCAGGUAUGCAGAAUGCAUUUUGUUUGGAUGUGUUUCCCCUUGUGUUUUUGGUUGUAGUGUCUUGCAUUGCAGCUCUGGAAUUGCGUGCUGCCCAGGCACACAGUUAUGCUGCAUGGCUCUGAAAAGUUCAGGAAAUAGAACUGUGUAUGUUCAGACAAAAUCCGUCUAUUAAAAUACUUUUUUAAAUCUUCAACUCUAGAUGUCUGAUUCUGACAGACCCUUCUGAGAGUUGCUGGACCUUCUCCUGAAACUGAAAUGAUCAGAUAGUGCUCUUAGUGCAUCGUGUACGGGGUCACUUAGAAACAUUGAAAGGACUGAAAAAAAUCUUUGAAUAACUACUGGUAAGCUCAUUUGUACUGAAAUGUGGCCUGGGAGGGGGGUGAGAAGUUAGGCACAGUGCAGCCUGAAUCCUCCCCUCCAGGCUGGCUGUCAUAGAGCUGGCAGCUGCUUCUGGAGGCAUUGGCUGAAGCGUGCAUUUCUCAUGGUAACGUCUUCAUUCUGCAGCAGCCCCUUCUGGAAGGGUUAACCUGGUGCUGUUACUGGAGCAGGAUGUGUGCUGCCCAGCAGUUCUGUCUCUGGCAAAGAGCAAGCAGGCAGCAUUUCAGAACCAGAACGUUGCUUGGUGUCACUGCUGGCUCCCUGGAGCUCGACGUGACGCUCGUCCCAAACCUGGGAGUCCCUCACCUGCUUGCUUGUAUAACAUCCUCAUCCCUCUGCUGUUCCUGCAAAUCUCUGAUCUAAAUUGUCAUCUAUGACUGUGCUCUGAGGUCACCUCUGUGCUGUUACUCAGUGUUCCUGUGCGAGGACUAAGCGUGGUGACGGUGAUAGGGGAAAAAAACGAUGGCACAGAGGAGUACAGCCCGUGUAGGAGCACUUCUGGCUUCACCUGCCCUCCUUGCUGGCUGCUGUCACUAUGAAGAAGUGCACGUGUGCACAGCCCUCCUCUGUCGUGUAACCUUUGUGCUGAGAUUCUUUUUCGAGAAGCCUUACUAAAGUGGAAGCUGCUUUGUGCCAUGCAAUUCCUGCUCUUUUCAACCAGUGUCUCUCAAAUGGGGCUUAAAUUUCUUGAAUACCCGCGUGGUGGUGGUGUUUUUUUUUUUAAACCAAGUUUAAAACUUACAUUUAAUUAUCCUGAAGGGAUAAGGGGGAGUGAAAAGUAAGGUAAUGAAAAGCAAUCGUAUGAGUCAGGAUUCAUAAAGGGCAGUAAAUCAUUUCAACCCUCAGUGCUUUGCGUUCUUUAUCUGUAAGGCUGGUUUGCCUGUUCCCAAAUGGGCUUCUGAAUCUUGGAGAUGCGUGCAGGGUAGUCAUGUAACUAAUUGUUCCAAACCUUGGUUUUAUAGCUGUUGUAAAACUUCUCUGAGAUCAGAGAAGGGAUCCUCAUCUAUAGAUAGAGGAGAUGAGAUGUAAAGUAACUCCCUUAAGAAUUCGGGUCAGUGUUCUGUUCAGAUUUGUGGGGUCCUUUUUUCUGCGGCAUGAAGACCUGCCUUACAGAGGUGUUAAGAUGCAUCCAUUCCAUUUUGUAUCACCUGGAGAAGUUGUCCAUAGUGAAGCAAUCAGAAGUUUCUAUUCCACAGUCUCUUAAUAGUCAGAAUUGUGCAUUCAUCUCAGCUGGAAGCACCAGCAGGACUUGUGAGCUGCUCGGCACGCUGCCUGGCAUUCACCUGCAUGCUGUGCCUCUUACUACCAGAACGCAGAGCAGGGAGAGUGGUUUUCUUAUUUUCUUACUUUUAUUUUCCUUCCUUAGCAGGAGGCAGUGGAUGUGUCUGAUAGGCAGAGGUUUCUCACAUUCUACAAUGCGAUACUUGAAGAUGAAGAGCCAUAGGAAUUCUUGGCCUUGGCUUUUUUCCCUGAAAUAAAAGCUCUAGUCAAAGAAUGUAUGGGAAGAGCCCGAAACAGCACGAUAGUUUCCAAGAAUUGCUUUCUGCUGAAAUGCCAACCAGGCUGCAGAGUUCCAUUUGCUCAUUCUAAAAGGCAGUCAAAUCCUGAUAUUUUCCUAACGUCCUGCUAACUUGCUGUGUGUUUUGUAAUGGCUUCAGCAAAAAGAAAAUCAAGAUACUCCCAUGCUCUUAACUGGCAUUCUCAGUGACAAAUCAAGAAGGGCAUUGCCCAGAGGCUUCUGUUACAUCCAAGCAGAACAAUGGUGCAGCGUGUUAUUUCCAAAUAUAUUGUUAUUUGCAAACAGAAUGAGCCACUGGCUUUUCUGUGCUGUGCAGCCUAUUGAAAUUCUGGCUGCGAUUCCAGCAGACUUUUUCCAUAAAUAGCUCUGCAAUACUUCAGAACACAAACAAGCUCCUGAAAAUACCUGAAGUAAGUCUUCAGAGAGGGCUGCUUGGCCUUUGUUAGUGGCUGGUGCUGCGGUGUGGGUGCUGUGAUGGAGGUGAGGAAUGAAUGCCUCCAUGGGCUGAGGGGUGGGACUGUGAGCAGGAGCUCAGAACAGUACAAGAGGGACAUGGAGCUCUUGGAACGAGCCCAGAGGAGGGCCACUAAGAUGCUCAGAGGGCUGGAAGCACCUCUCCUAU